rnacentral:rRNA from 1 species
CCUACGGGAGGCAGCAGUGGGGAAUCUUCCGCAAUGGGCGAAAGCCUGACGGAGCAACGCCGCGUGAUCGAAUGAAGGCCUUCGGGUUGUACAGCUCUGUUGACAGGGACGAAUACGCAAUGCGAAUAGUUUUGUGUAUGACGGUACCUGUUUAGAACGCUCCGGCUAACUACGUGCCAGCAGCCUCGGUAAUACGUAGGGAGCAAGCGGUGUCCGGAAUUACUGGGCGUAAAGGGCGCGUAGGUGGGCGCUUAAGUCGGGUGUGAAAACUCCGGGGUCAACCUGGGGACUGCAAUUGAAACUGGGUGUCUUGAGGGCAGGAGAGGAAAGUGGAAU